UGCGUAGGCGGGCUAAUAAGUCAGUGGUGAAAUCUCUCGGCUCAACCGGGAAACUGCCAUUGAUACUGUUAGUCUUGAGUUCGGUUGAGGUAGGCGGAAUGUGUAAUGUAGCGGUGAAAUGCUUAGAUAUUACACAGAACACCAAUUGCGUAGGCAGCUUACUAGACCGACACUGACGCUGAGGCACGAAAGCGUGGGGACUAACAGGAUUAGAUACCCUGGUAGUC
rnacentral:rRNA from 1 species